rnacentral:rRNA from 1 species
AUGGGCUUGCUGCAGCCAGGCAGUUCUUCAGAGUAUGGUGCUUCGAUUUGGUUCCUGUGGUGUUUCAGAACCCUAUCCUCUCCACCUUUAGAGGAGAACCCCAUGAAAGCUAAAAGUUUGUGGAGGAGUGUUGGCACAGGAAUAUCUGAUCUGCGCCAUGACAAUAUGGGCUUGCUGCAGCCAGGCAGUUCUUCAGAGUAUGGUGCUUCGAUUUGGUUCCUGUGGUGGUAUCUUCUCUCCCUUCUCCCUCCUUUUAUUUCUUACUUAUGCUUUGAUGCUUUAAUAUGUUGUAUUGGCUUAAAUUAUGUACUUAGUUGA